GGUAAAAACAACAGAGAAAAGUCGUUAAACAUGGUGUAAGAGAACAUGAUACAACAGGAAACAGGCCAAGCUGGCAGAGAUUCUGCAUGAAACCAAUUUGACUGGGGACUGGAGAGUCUAAGAUGAUUCUUGUGCAGAGAUGGAAAAGCUCUGGGAAUAAAAACUGACACAUCAACAUGAAAACUGUGAGAAGAGUCGGAGACAGACCUCCGGGCUACUGGAGCCCUGAGAAAGCCUUACAGGAAGGCCCUUUUCCAGACCUUUGUGGCUGUGUGGAAAGUACUCCCCAGCAAAGGAGGAAAAGGCCUACCAGGCAGGAAGAAAGGUAUCAGAUGGGAAUAAACUGCAAGUCUUUCUUGGA